rnacentral:rRNA from 1 species
AUAACCAGGUCCAGCCUGCCCAGUGAUAAAAUUCAACGGCCGCGGUACCCUAACCGUGCGAAGGUAGCAUAAUCACUUGUUCUUUAAAUGAGGACUUGUAUCAACGGCAUCACGAGGGUUAAACUGUCUCCUUUUUCAUAUCAGUGAAACUGAUCUCCCCGUGAAGAAGCGGAGAUAAACUUAUAAGACGAGAAGACCCCAUGGAGCUUUAAACCCAACUACACCCUAACCCAAUUAUUACCUCUCAACUUUUAGGUCCUGUAUGUUUUGGUUUUAGGUUGGGGUGACCGCGGAGUAUAAACCAACCUCCACAAUGAAUAGAUUCCCUCUUUAUCUAAGAAUUACACUUCUAAGAAUUAGAAUUCUAACAUAAAAUGAUCCGAUAUUUGAUCAACGAACCAAGUUACCCUGGGGAUAACAGCGCAAUCCACUUCAAGAGCCCCUAUCGACAAGUGGGUUUACGACCUCGAUGUUGGAUCAGGGUAUCCCAGUGGUGCAGCAGCUACUAAAGGUUCGUUUGUUCAACGAUUAAAACCCU